UGGCUCUCGCAUCGAUGAAGAACGCAGCGAAGUGCGAUAAGUAAUGUGAAUUGCAGAAUUCAGUGAAUCAUCGAAUCUUUGAACGCACCUUGCGCUCCUUGGUAUUCCGAGGAGCAUGCCUGUUUGAGUGUCAUGAAAUCUUCAAUCUACAAGCUUCUUAUGGGAGUUUGUAGGCUUGGACUUGGAGGCCUGUCGGUCCUUUACAGGUCGGCUCCUCUCAAAUGCAUUAGCUUGGUUCCUUGCGGAUCGGCUUGUCGGUGUGAUAAUGUCUACGCCGCGACCGUGAAGCGUGUUUGGGCGAGCUUCUAACCGUCUCGUUUACGGAGACAACUUUAUGACCUCUGACCUCAAAUCAGAUAGGACUACCCGCUGA
rnacentral:misc_RNA from 1 species